rnacentral:rRNA from 1 species
AUCUAUGGCCAUACCAUCAAGAAUGCACUUGAUGUCAUCUGAUCUUGGAAGCUAAGCUGGGUCAGACCUGGUUAGUGCUUGGAUGGGAGAACGAAGUGACUUGCCAAAGAUC